CGCCUCUGCGCCUGGCCCGGCGACUGCGGGCGCUGCGGUCCACUGGGUCCGCCUCUUCCCGGCAUGGGUUUCUGCCCAGCUCACCCGCUGUCAGCUGGGGUCCUGCUCUGGUGGGAGGAAGAGGCUCAGACGCUUCCCUGCCCUCUCGCCUCAACCACCUCGAGGCAGCGGCUCCCAGGAUGUGCACUUUGACGACUAAAGCUGAGCCGGCGCCGCCACGACCUUGGGCGGGUGGUCGGCCUCUGCCCUGAGCAGGAAGUAGAAAGUCUCAGCAGACCCUUCCUGAGGGCCGAGCAACAGUGUAGUGGCGUAUUCCACAUAGCAAACAGAUGUACACUAGAUUUUGAUGGCAUUUUUCCAGGGACCCUGGGAGCAUCUGUGUUCUCGUGUUCUUCUUGCCUGUGAGGCCUCUUCUCUCUGAGGACAGAUGGUAGGACAGAGAGAAGACAGCAAAUGGAAAACAAAGGCUGCUAUUUUUUUGUGGGGCAGGCAGCAUUUCUUCCUGUGACAAUAUGGUGUAAGACAAAAUUGUGGCCUGCCAUGAAGUUGUGAGAGAAAAGCAUCCCUCAUUUCUUCAGGAAAGGCCACUGCCGUUCCCUCCGGCUCCUCUUCUCAGGAGUUUGUGCAUUCAUGAGGUGAAUUCCUUGGAAGAUGAGGGCCAAGUCUUAUUCUUCUCAGUCUCUUCUGCAUCUAGCAGAAGAAUAAUGGUUGCACAGAAAAUCUUGGUUCAGUGGUUGAGUGAAUGAAUGGAUGAACAGGCUCUUGCACACAAAGAAGAGACAUGAUGUAUUUGCAUCCUUCCCUGCUUCAGCCAGUUUUCUGAAGCUCAGAGGGACACCUUGUAUUGCUGGAUGAUAAAAACAGGAGCAAAGUGAUGAAGUGCUGACAAGGCAACAAUAGAACAUGAGAGAUUCACUGCUGUGUAGGAAGAGAUCUUCGGUGACCAUGUAGCCUGAAGCUCUCAUUUUGUCAUCGAGGGACACCAAAACUCAGAACAGCAGCAGCUCACGCUGCUGAUGCAACACAGGUGAAGAGCACCUUCCCCUCCCCCACCUGUGGGCUGAUUCCCACCACGUGGAUCCCAAGGCCAUCCCAGGAACUCUUUGGAGGGGAGAAGCCCAGUGGAAACUGUCAGGCCUCUGAGCACAAGCCAAGCCAUCGCAUCCCCUGUGACUUGCACGUAUAUGCCCAGAUGGCCUGAAGUAACUGAAGAAUCACAAAAGAAGUGAAAAGGCCCUGCCCCACCUUAACUGAUGACAUUCCACCAUUGUGAUUUGUUCCUGCCCCACCUUCACUGAGUGAUUAACCCUGUGAAUUUCCUUCUCCUGGCUCAGAAGCUCCCCCACUGAGCACCUUGUGACCCCCGCCCCUGCCCACCAGAGAACAACCCCCUUUGACUGUAAUUUUCCAUUACCUUCCCAAAUCCUAUAAAACGGCCCCACCCCUAUCUCCCUUCGCUGACUCUCUUUUCGGACUCAGCCCGCCUGCACCCAGGUGAAAUAAACAGCCAUGUUGCUCACA
rnacentral:lncRNA from 10 species